GGUCGAUUGGUCUAGUUGGUCAUGACGUGGGUAAGGAUGACCCCGCUUCUUCCAUCUCUCCGCCGAGCAAAAUUUUCCUGACAAUUCUUCCUAUAGGUCUCAUAUUCUGAUAUGAUCGCCUCGUAGAGGUGAGCGAUCCCGAGGUCACCAGUUCGAUCCUGGUAUCGACCA